rnacentral:rRNA from 1 species
UACGAAGGGGGCUAGCGUUGUUCGGAUUUACUGGGCGUAAAGCGCACGUAGGCGGAUCGUUAAGUCGGGGGUGAAAUCCUGGAGCUCAACUCCAGAACUGCCUUCGAUACUGGCGAUCUUGAGUCCGGAAGAGGUGAGUGGAACUCCUAGUGUAGAGGUGGAAUUCGUAGAUAUUCGGAAGAACACCAGUGGCGAAGGCGACAUACUGGCUCAUUACUGACGCUGAGGCUCGAAAGCGUGGGGAGCAAACAGG